rnacentral:rRNA from 1 species
AGCGGCAGGCCUAAUACAUGCAAGUCGAGGGGUAUGGUUCUUCGGAACCAGAGACCGGCGCACGGGUGCGUAACGCGUAUGCAAUCUGCCUUUCACAGAGGGAUAGCCCAGAGAAAUUUGGAUUAAUACCUCAUAGUAUAGCGACAUCGCAUGAUGAUGCUAUUAAAGUCACAACGGUGAAAGAUGAGCAUGCGUCCCAUUAGCUAGUUGGUAAGGUAACGGCUUACCAAGGCAACGAUGGGUAGGGGUCCUGAGAGGGAGAUCCCCCACACUGGUACUGAGACACGGACCAGACUCCUACGGGAGGCAGCAGUGAGGAAUAUUGGUCAAUGGGCGCAAGCCUGAACCAGCCAUGCCGCGUGCAGGAUGACGGUCCUAUGGAUUGUAAACUGCUUUUGCACAGGAAGAAACACUGAUUCGUGAAUCAGCUUGACGGUACUGUGAGAAUAAGGAUCGGCUAACUCCGUGCCAGCAGCCGCGGUAAUACGGAGGAUCCAAGCGUUAUCCGGAAUCAUUGGGUUUAAAGGGUCCGUAGGCGGUUUAAUAAGUCAGUGGUGAAAUCUGGUCGCUCAACGAUCAAACGGCCAUUGAUACUGUUAGACUUGAAUUACAAGGAAGUAACUAGAAUAUGUAGUGUAGCGGUGAAAUGCUUAGAUAUUACAUGGAAUACCAAUUGCGAAGGCAGGUUACUACUUGUGGAUUGACGCUGAUGGACGAAAGCGUGGGGAGCGAACAGGAUUAGAUACCCUGGUAGUCCACGCCGUAAACGAUGGAUACUAGCUGUUGGGCGCAAGCUCAGUGGCUAAGCGAAAGUGAUAAGUAUCCCACCUGGGGAG